rnacentral:rRNA from 1 species
CAGUCGAGCGCGCCCUUCGGGGUGAGCGGCGGACGGGUUAGUAACGCGUGGGAACGUACCCAGAUCUAAGGAAUAGCCACUGGAAACGGUGAGUAAUACCUUAUACGCCCUUCGGGGGAAAGAUUUAUCGGAUUUGGAUCGGCCCGCGUUAGAUUAGAUAGUUGGUGGGGUAACGGCCUACCAAGUCUACGAUCUAUAGCUGGUUUUAGAGGAUGAUCAGCAACACUGGGACUGAGACACGGCCCAGACUCCUACGGGAGGCAGCAGUGGGGAAUCUUGGACAAUGGGCGCAAGCCUGAUCCAGCCAUGCCGCGUGAGUGAUGAAGGCCUUAGGGUCGUAAAGCUCUUUCGCCAGGGAUGAUAAUGACAGUACCUGGUAAAGAAACCCCGGCUAACUCCGUGCCAGCAGCCGCGGUAAUACGGAGGGGGUUAGCGUUGUUCGGAAUUACUGGGCGUAAAGCGCGCGUAGGCGGGUUGUUAAGUUAGAGGUGAAAUCCCGGGGCUCAACCCCGGAACUGCCUUUAAUACUGGCAACCUAGAGUUCGAGAGAGGUGAGUGGAAUUCCGAGUGUAGAGGUGAAAUUCGUAGAUAUUCGGAGGAACACCAGUGGCGAAGGCGGCUCACUGGCUCGAUACUGACGCUGAGGUGCGAAAGUGUGGGGAGCAAACAGGAUUAGAUACCCUGGUAGUCCACACCGUACACGAUGAAUGCCAGUCGUCGGGUAGCAUGCUAUUCGGUGA